UGGGGAAUCUUAGACAAUGGGGGCAACCCUGAUCUAGCCAUGCCGCGUGGACGAUGAAGGCCUUAGGGUUGUAAAGUCCUUUCGCCGGGGAAGAUAAUGACGGUACCCGGUAAAGAAGCCCCGGCUAACUCCGUGCCAGCAGCCGCGGUAAUACGGAGGGGGCUAGCGUUGUUCGGAAUUACUGGGCGUAAAGCGCGCGUAGGCGGGCUGUUAAGUCAGGGGUGAAAUCCCGGGGCUCAACCUCGGAACUGCCCUUGAUACUGGCAGCCUUGAGUCCGAGAGAGGUGAGUGGAAUUCCGAGUGUAGAGGUGAAAUUCGUAGAUAUUCGGAGGAACACCAGUGGCGAAGGCGGCUCACUGGCUCGGUACUGACGCUGAGGUGCGAAAGUGUGGGGAGCAAACAGGAUUAGAUACCCCGGUAGUCC
rnacentral:rRNA from 1 species